GGAUGAACGCUGGCGGUAUGCUUAACACAUGCGAGUCGAACGGAAUCUUAGGAUUUAGUGGCGGACGGGUGAGUAACGCGUGAGAAUUUGGCUUCAGGUCGGGGAUAACAGUUGGAAACGACUGAUAAUACCGGAUGUGCCGGGAGGUGAAAGAUUUAUCGCCUGAAGAUAAGCUCGCGUCUGAUUAGCUAGUUGGUGGUGUAAGGGACUACCAAGGCGACGAUCAGUAGCUGGUCUGAGAGGAUGAUCAGCCACACUGGGACUGAGACACGGCCCAGACUCCUACGGGAGGCAGCAGUGGGGAAUUUUCCGCAAUGGGCGAAAGCCUGACGGAGCAAUACCGCGUGAGGGAGGAAGGCUCUUGGGUCGUAAACCUCUUUUCUCAAGGAAGAAGAAAGUGACGGUACUUGAGGAAUAAGCAUCGGCUAACUCCGUGCCAGCAGCCGCGGUAAUACGGAGGAUGCAAGCGUUAUCCGGAAUGAUUGGGCGUAAAGGGUCCGUAGGUGGAACUGAAAGUCUGCUGUUAAAGAGUCUGGCUCAACCAGAUAAAAGCGGUGGAAACUACAGAACUAGAGUAUGGUAGGGGUAGAAGGAAUUCCUGGUGUAGCGGUGAAAUGCGUAGAUAUCAGGAAGAACACCGGUGGCGAAAGCGUUCUACUAGACCAAAACUGACACUGAGGGACGAAAGCUAGGGGAGCGAAUGGGAUUAGAUACCCCAGUAGUCCUAGCCGUAAACGAUGGAUACUAGGCGUGGCUUGUAUCGACCCGAGCCGUGCCGGAGCUAACGCGUUAAGUAUCCCGCCUGGGGAGUACGCACGCAAGUGUGAAAC
rnacentral:rRNA from 1 species